UACGUAGGGAGCAAGCGUUGUCCGGAAUCAUUGGGCGUAAAGCGCGCGUAGGCGGCCCCGUAAGUCCGCUGUGAAAGUCAAAGGCUCAACCUUUGAAAGCCGGUGGAUACUGUGGGGCUAGAGUACGGAAGAGGCGAGCGGAAUUCCUGGUGUAGCGGUGGAAUGCGCAGAUAUCAGGAGGAACACCAAUAGCGAAGGCAGCUCGCUGGGACGUUACUGACGCUGAGGCGCGAAAGCGUGGGGAGCGAACAGG
rnacentral:rRNA from 1 species